rnacentral:rRNA from 1 species
GUAGGUGGCAAGCGUUGUCCGGAAUUAUUGGGCGUAAAGCGCGCGCAGGCGGGUCCUUUAAGUCUGAUGUGAAAGCCCACGGGCUCAACCGUGGAGGGUCAUUGGAAACUGGGGGACUUGAGUACAGAAGAGGAAAGCGGAAUUCCAAGUGUAGCGGUGAAAUGCGUAGAGAUUUGGAGGAACACCAGUGGCGAAGGCGGCUUUCUGGUCUGUAACUGACGCUGAGGCGCGAAAGCGUGGGGAGCAGACAGGAUUAGAUACCCUGGUAGUCCACGCCGUAAACGAUGAGUGCUAAGUGUUAGGGGGUUUCCGCCCCUUAGUGCUGCAGCUAACGCAUUAAGCACUCCGCCUGGGGAGUACGGCCGCAAAGGCUA